rnacentral:lncRNA from 1 species
AAUAAAGUCCCGGUGUGUGUGCGAGCGUGUUGUCUGUGGAUGCGGGUGCCUGUGAGUGUGAGCGCGUGCGCUAGCGCUGCAACCUCGCACGAAUAAUAAAAUCUGGGUCUAUGUGAGUGUGUGUCUGUGUGCGCGCGUGCCUGCGGGGAUGUGUGUACUACGCUUGUAACUCACCCUGAAUAAAGUCCGGGCGCGCGCGAGAGUGUGCGCGCGUGCACGCGGGGCUGCGUUAGCGCUGUGACACGCCGUGAAUAAAGUCCGGGGCUGCGUGUGCGCGCGCGCGUGCCUGCGGGAGUACGCGAGUGCAGGCAUGAGGGGGAACGUGUGCAUACAUACGUGUGUGUGUGUGUGUGCGAAGUUGAAAUUGCAAGAGUUUACCAAAUGCUUCCCCGGAGCGUGCGAGAAGAAACGGCCACUACCCGAGUAAAGAGCAUCUCUCUCUCCCAGUUUAACCAUAAGUCUUUCAGAAAAGACAUUUUCUGCAACUUCCGAGGAGGAUAUAGGAGAUAGAAAGUUGACCCCAAAGUCCAGAAGGAAGAGGAGGAGGAGGAGGAGAAAAAGGAGGAAGAGAAGGAGGAGGAGGAGGAGAAGGAAGGAAGAGGAGGAAGAAGAGGAGGAGGAGGAGAAGAAGAAAGAGGAGGAAAAAAGAAAAAGGAGAAGGAGGAGGAGAAGAAAAGGAGGAGGAAAAACAGUUUAGUAAAACAAAUUAAUUUAUUCACAUAGUGUAUGUGAUGAUUUACAUCCAUGGUCCACCAACUCUAGUAAGAUAAAAGGAGACAGUGAGUGAAUGAGGGGAUGGUGAACAGUGUCAAUUUUUUCAGAAAGGUAGAGAAGAAUAAAAACAGAAAGAAGACUAGGAAACAGGCUUAUCAGUGGAUAAUUUGUGACCUCUGGUAGAGCAGGUUCAAUAGAAUGGUUAGUCAGAAACCCAGUGAUAUCUAGCUAGUCAGUGUCAUCCGAAGUCUUCCUGGCCCCAAACCUGGUAUUCUACCCUGUACUCCAAUAUACUUAUAUUCAAAUAUGAAUAAUGGGGCAGCUAAAUGGUGCAGUGGAUAGAGCGCUGGCCCUGAAGUUAGGAGGACCUGGAGUUCAAAUGUAGCCUCAUUCAUUUAACACUGUCUGACCCUGGACAAAUCACUUAACUCCCAUUGUCUCAAAAUAAACAAAUAAGCAAGGGGGUAUUUUUCUUUUUUACUAGGUAUAGCUAAGACUAAGUGACUGACAGGGUCCUUUUGCACAGUGAUUCUGAAUGGAGAAAAGGAAAAAUGUUGAGAAAAUAGGAGCAUCAGGUAGAGAUUAUUAUUAUUUUUUUUUUUUUUGCUGAGGCAAUUGGGGUUAAGUGACUUGCCCAGGGUCACACAGUUAGGAAGUGUUAAGUAUCUUAGACCAGAUUUGAACUCAGGUCCUCCUGACUUCAGGGUUGGUGCUGUAUCCACUGCAUCACCUAACUGUCCAGAGAUUAUUUUGUCUUUAAGAUCUUUAAAAUGUUUGCACAUAAUAGGGCCCUGUAUAGAGCCCCAG